rnacentral:rRNA from 1 species
ACAGCAGUCGCCACGGUAACACGGAGGGUGCAAGCGUUAAUCGGAAUUACUGGGCGUAAAGCGCACGCAGGCGGUCUGACAAGUCAGAUGUGAAAUCCCCGGGCUUAACCUGGGAACUGCAUUUGAAACUGUCAGGCUGGAGUCUUGUAGAGGGGGGUGGAAUUCCAGGUGUAGCGGUGAAAUGCGUAGAGAUCUGGAGGAAUACCGGUGGCGAAGGCGGCCCCCUGGACAAAGACUGACGCUCAGGUGCGAAAGCGUGGGGAGCAAACAGGAUUAGAUACCCGCGUAGUCCCUGUCUCUUAUAC